UACGUAGGCAGCAAGCGUUGUUCGGAGUUACUGGGCGUAAAGGGUGCGUAGGCGGCUAUUUAAGUUUGGUGUGAAAUCUCCCGGCUCAACUGGGAGGGUGCGCCGAAUACUGAGUGGCUAGAGUGCGGGAGAGGAAAGUGGAAUUCCUGGUGUAGCGGUGAAAUGCGUAGAUAUCAGGAGGAACACCGGUGGUGUAAACGCUUUCUGGACCGUAACUGACGCUGAGGCACGAAAGCGUGGGUAGCAAACAGG
rnacentral:rRNA from 1 species